AGUGAACGCUGGCGGUAGGCCUAACACAUGCAAGUCGAACGGCAGCACAGGAGAGCUUGCUCUCUGGGUGGCGAGUGGCGGACGGGUGAGGAAUACAUCGGAAUCUACUUUUUCGUGGGGGAUAACGUAGGGAAACUUACGCUAAUACCGCAUACGACCUACGGGUGAAAGCAGGGGACCUUCGGGCCUUGCGCGAUUGAAUGAGCCGAUGUCGGAUUAGCAAGUUGGCGGGGUAAAGGCCCACCAAGGCGACGAUCCGUAGCUGGUCUGAGAGCAGGAUCGGCCACACUGGACCUGAGACACGGUCCAGAGUCCUACGGGGGGCAGCAGUGGGGAAUAUUGGACAAUGGGAGCAAGCCUGAUCCAGCCAUACCGCGUGGGUGAAGAAGGCCUUAGGGUUGUAAAGCCCUUUUGUUGGGAAAGAAAUCCAGCUGGCUAAUAACCGGUUGGGAUGACGGUACCCAAAGCAUAAGCACCGGCUAACUUCGUGCCAGCAGCCGCCGUAA
rnacentral:rRNA from 1 species